rnacentral:rRNA from 1 species
CCCUUAGAUGUUCUGGGCCGCACGCGCGCUACACUGACGGAGGCAGCGAGCGUGUCCUUCGCCGAGAGGUGUGGGGAAUCUUGUGAGUCUCCGUCGUGCUGGGGAUAGAUGGUUGCAAUUGUCGAUCUUGAACGAGGAAUUCCUAGUAAGCGCGAGUCAUCAGCUCGCGCUGAUUACGUCCCUGCCCUUUGUACACACCGCCCGUCGCUACUACCGAUUGGAUGGUUUAGCGAGAACUUUGGACCGGAGCUCGGGUGGUCAGCAAUGGCCGCCCGAGACAUACUGGGAAAUCGCUCCAGCUUGAUCAUCUAGAGGAAGUAAAAGUCGUAACA